UGGGGAAUCUUGGACAAUGGGGGCAACCCUGAUCCAGCCAUGCCGCGUGAGUGAUGAAGGCCUUAGGGUCGUAAAGCUCUUUCGCCUGUGAAGAUAAUGACGGUAGCAGGUAAAGAAACCCCGGCUAACUCCGUGCCAGCAGCCGCGGUAAUACGGAGGGGGUUAGCGUUGUUCGGAAUUACUGGGCGUAAAGCGCACGUAGGCGGACCAGAAAGUUGGGGGUGAAAUCCCGGGGGCUCAACCCCGGAACUGCCUCCAAAACUAUUGGUCUAGAGUUCGAGAGAGGUGAGUGGAAUUCCAAGUGUAGAGGUGAAAUUCGUAGAUAUUUGGAGGAACACCAGUGGCGAAGGCGGCUCACUGGCUCGAUACUGACGCUGAGGUGCGAAAAGUGUGGGGAGCAAAACAGGAUUAGAUACCCUGGUAGUCCACACCGUAAAACGAUGAAUGCCAGUCGUCGGGUAGCAUGCUAUUCGGUGACACACCUAACGGA
rnacentral:rRNA from 1 species